rnacentral:tRNA from 1 species
GAGGCUACAGCUCAGGGGUAGAGCACGUGAUUAGCAUGCAUGAGGUCCUGGGUUCAUUCCUCAGUACCUUCU